rnacentral:rRNA from 1 species
GACGAACGCUGGCGGCGUGCUUAACACAUGCAAGUCGAGCGGUAAGGCCCUUUCGGGGGUACACGAGCGGCGAACGGGUGAGUAACACGUGAGCAACCUACCCUCAACUUCGGGAUAAGCCUCGGAAACGGGGUCUAAUACCGGAUAUCACUCCAUUCUUCAUGGUUUGGGGUUGAAAGUUCUGGCGGUUGGGGAUGGGCUCGCGGCCUAUCAGCUUGUUGGUGGGGUAAUGGCCUACCAAGGCGUCGACGGGGUAGCCGGCCUGAGAGGGCGACCGGCCACACUGGGACUGAGACACGGCCCAGACUCCUACGGGAGGCAGCAGUGGGGAAUAUUGCGC